rnacentral:tRNA from 1 species
GGAUGGAUGGCCGCGGGGUCGAAGGCGGCGGUCUUGAAAACCGUUGAGGUGCAAGCCUCCGGGGGUUCGAAUCCCUCUCCAUCCG